AUUGAACGCUGGCGGCAGGCCUAACACAUGCAAGUCGGACGGUAGCACAGAGAGCUUGCUCUUGGGUGACGAGUGGCGGACGGGUGAGUAAUGUCUGGGGAUCUGCCCGAUAGAGGGGGAUAACCACUGGAAACGGUGGCUAAUACCGCAUAACGUCGCAAGACCAAAGAGGGGGACCUUCGGGCCUCUCACUAUCGGAUGAACCCAGAUGGGAUUAGCUAGUAGGCGGGGUAAUGGCCCACCUAGGCGACGAUCCCUAGCUGGUCUGAGAGGAUGACCAGCCACACUGGAACUGAGACACGGUCCAGACUCCGACGGGAGGCAGCAGUGGGGAAUAUUGCACAAUGGGCGCAAGCCUGAUGCAGCCAUGCCGCGUGUAUGAAGAAGGCCUUCGGGUUGUAAAGUACUUUCAGCGGGGAGGAAGGCGACGCGGUUAAUAACCGCGUCGAUUGACGUUACCCGCAGAAGAAGCACCGGCUAACUCCGUGCCAGCAGCCGCAGUAA
rnacentral:rRNA from 1 species